GUGCUAGCUUCAGUAGCACAUAUACUAAAAUUGGAAUGAUACAGAGAGUAGCAUGGCCCCUGCUGAAGGAUGACAUGAAAAUUCAUGAAGCAUCCCAUGUUUUA